rnacentral:rRNA from 1 species
ACUCCUACGGGAGGCAGCAGUGGGGAAUAUUGCACAAUGGGGGAAACCCUGAUGCAGCCAUGCCGCGUGUGUGAAGAAGGCCUUCGGGUUGUAAAGCACUUUCAGUAGGGAGGAAGGUAGUGUAGUUAACACCUGCAUUAUUUGUACGUUACCUACAGAAGAAGCACCGGCUAACUCCGUGCCAGCAGCCGCGGUAAUACGGAGGGUGCGAGCGUUAAUCGGGAAUUACGUGGGCGUAAAGCGCAUGCAGGCGGCCUGUUAAGUCAGAUGUGAAAGCCCGGGGCUUAACCUCGGAAUUGCAUUUGAAACUGGCAGGCUAGAGUCUUGUAGAGGGGGUUAGAAUUUCGAGGUGUAGC